UGCGGAGUGGGUCAGGGGCUGCGAGGGCUGCCCCAAGUCCUACCGGGUUUGCACGGGCGCGCCCGGCUCCGCCCGCAAGUGCGCCUUCCUGACUUACUGCUGGGUGCGCGGGGCUGGGGGUGCGAGUACCACCCCUGAAGUCUCUUCCUGGGCGACCUCCGGGGCCUCAUUCUAGGCCUCCUUAAAGAGAAGGAUCUAAAUUAGGAAAAGGAAGUGCCCUUAUCCACGACCAAGCUCUUCCACCUGCGGAGCUCGCUUAGUCUGCACCUCAACCGUGCGGAAAGUGACUGCCCUGUUUACUGAGGAAAAACUGGGGCUCAGAAAGGUGAAGUCAUUUGCCAUGGGCCAUGCAGCUGGGAAGUGACAGAUCUGGAUUCAAAGCGAGUUCUGGCUGGCGCCAGAGUCCUUGUAUUUUACAGCACUGGUUCUCAAGCUUUAUGUGCAUUAAGAAUUCCUGGGUUGAGGGUGGCGUUAGUUAACAAAUUCUGGGACUCUACAAAUUGAGUAGAUCUGGGAUGGGGCUCUGGAAUCUAUUUUCAACAAUUGUUCCCUGGCAAAUAACAUAUGGCUCCCCAGUGAAUGGAGCAAGAAGAUACCAUGGAGUAGUUUGAAACAGGAACAAAAUCUUCUGAAAGCUCGGAGCAGAAGCCUUUUUGGUCAACAUGGAGGAAAAAAGACGGCGAGCCCGAGUUCAGGGAGCCUGGGCUGCCCCUGUUAAAAGCCAGGCCAUUGCUCAGCCAGCUACCACUGCUAAGAGCCAUCUCCACCAGAAGCCUGGCCAGACCUGGAAGAACAAAGAGCAUCAUCUCUCUGACAGAGAGUUUGUGUUCAAAGAACCUCAG
rnacentral:lncRNA from 10 species